AAAUAAUCAAAACCCGAUACCGUUUCACCCUAACCCCCCCUCUCUCUCUCUCUCCCUCGUCUUCAUCAUCUACGGCCAACCAUGGCCACCAUAGAUGAGCUCAGUGAAUCAAGUUCUAUCUUUUCCCGAUGCCAAAGAGCCACAAUAAGAAGUAAAAAAAACGAUUCAAAUGCUUUGUCUAUUUCACCUGGCUACACCAGAUGAGGAGUCCAGAAAUUAGGAAUAUGGCUCUACUGGGUAUGGGGGACCAACGUGCAUGAGGCUUCAAUGCUUUGUCCGCUACUAUGGUUGUAGCUUGUUUGGUACAACUUAGUUCUCUACUAUUGAAUAUGAUACAUAUGUGAUUGAAAUCAAAAUGAGACUUUCAAAUUAAUGAUCAUUGUCGUAAAUUUGAAGGUACUAUCGAUCGGCUCAUUAUUAGUCUUCAAUGCUUUAGGUGUCAUUGUGGCAACUUCAAUGUAAGACUGAGUAAUCAUCCCUACUGCCAAGAAAUUAAUUGGACAUGAACAAGGUUAACCCAGCUACAACAUACAAGGAAUAAGAUUUGCAAUGUACGCAGUUAUGAUAGUCAACAUCGAAUUCUUGGAACAUCUUUUACUAGAUGCUCCAAAAUUUCGAUGCUAACUACCACAACAACAUACAUUGCAAGUAUUAUUCUCAUAUGUUGUAAGUGGGUGAACCCUUGUUUAUGGUCAGUUACUUUUUUGACAUUAUGGACGAUAACCUAGUUGUAUAUUGGAGUUGUCACAAUAACUCCUAAAACAUCGAAUACCACCAGUGAUAUUGAUGGUACCUUCGAGUUUGAGACCACAAUCAUCAUUUUGAAAAGUGGCAUUUUGAUUUUAACAAUAUAUAUGUGUGUCAUAUUCAACAGUGGAGAAAUUAAGUUGUAUCAAGCUAAAAACAAGCUUGUUUUGGUGUGAAGUAGGAAAAAAAUAAUUGAUAGAAAGCUGUGUAUUCCCAAGUAUUAAGUAAACUAGUGAUUACCACGUAUGGGUCCACCAAGGUCACUGAUUGUGAUGACUUUCUACUAAUAGAUGACCAUGGCUUCCCAUACUUCGAUGAAUAUAUUAUAAAUUUUAAAUAAAAUGGUCAAUAGAAGCUUCUUUAAAAUUAGGUUUUUUUUUUCAAAAUAAUUAAUUGCUGAGCAUAUAUAUAUAACUAGAUAUAUAUUUAAAAAAAAACAUUUUUAAAAGAAAACUUGAGUGUUUGACAUAGGACAUGAGGCUCCACUCGUUUCUAACGCUGAUUUUUUUUUCUCCUUCUGUUAGCGAGAUGGGAAAAGAGAGUGGAAAGAAAAGUUUAGAGAGAAAUUGAAACAAUUAUUUAUUUGGUAAUGAGAGUUAGAAAAAAAAAACUAAAUGGUCCUAACAAAAUAUAAUCUUUCAAAUUUGAGGGAGGAGUGUGUAUAAAACAUUUUUUAUUUUUUCAAAUUGAUAGAAAGCUACACAAUUUUGUUGGUUUGUGUUUUUGACCUUGGGAAAGACAUUAAAUGAUGUUAUCUUCCAAAUUGGAGGAAAA